UGGUGGCUCGAGCAGCAGGACGCGGUGGCGGCGCGCAGCUGCAGUGGCGGUCUCCCUUUCCUCCGGCGCCACUGUUCCUUCCUCUUCUCCCUUUCUCUUUCUCAAGCCCUCUCUUCCCUCUUCAGCUCUCUUUCUCUCAGAUCUCAUAAUAUAUAAUCAAAGGCAACUACUUAGCCCUUCCACAAUAAAAGUUUUCUUCGUCUUCAUCGCAAGCACCAACAGCAAC
rnacentral:lncRNA from 1 species